AUUGAACGCUGGCGGCAGGCCUAACACAUGCAAGUCGAACGAGUGGCGGACGGGUUAGUAAUGUCUGGGAAACUGCCUGAUGGAGGGGGAUAACUACUGGAAACGGUAACUAAUACCGUACACCAUCAGAUGUGCCCAGAUGGGAUUAGCUAGUUGGAGGGGUAACGGCUCACCAAGGAUACGAUCCCUAGCUGGUCUGAGAGGAUGACCAGCCACACUGGAACUGAGACACGGUCCAGACUCCUACGUGAGGCAGCAGUGGGGAAUAUUGCACAAUGGGCGAAAGCCUGAUUCAGCCAUGCCGCGUGUGUGAAGAAGGCCUUCGGGUUGUAAAGUACUUUCAGCUGGGAGGCGUUACCCGCAGAAGAAGCACCGGCUAACUCCGUGCCAGCAGCCGCGGUAAUUC
rnacentral:rRNA from 1 species